UUCGGCGAAGGAUUUGCUCGAGGGAUUUGACGCUAGAAGCCUCCGGAUUCGCACUAGAAGGAAAAAAGGCCUCUCACAUUCCUUCCUGUCCAGGCAUUCGCAUGCUCUAAUAGGGACCGAACACUCUCCCUCUCGAUCUCUCUAUCGAUUUCGCACAGCCAGACGAUGGAUCUCUCUCUCUCUCUCUCUCUCUCUCUCUCUCUCUCUUCAAAGAAGUAAGGAGCCGCAGCCCCCUUCCUCCUGCGGCUUUCCUGGUUUUAUGAGCAGAAGUCGAAGACCCUCUCCCCCUCUCCGACUAGCUUUAAUUCUCACAACUCAGACAAAAAAUCAUGAAGAAGAGAUAUUCCAUCAACAGAACAUAUAUGAUCAUCAGAAGAAUUAGAAAUGCCAAAACAGAUACUUUAAAUAGCUAUCUGUUGGCAAGUCAGCUGAGUCAUCUACCAGCCAUGUGUUCUUCAUCAGCUGUUGCGGCCUUGUGCUAAAUACAAUCUCAUCUUCUGAUGGGAUGCCUCUUAAAUGAUUUAUGAAGAUUCAGUGUGCGCAUGUGAUAUGUUUUUUAUGGUUAACAGAAGAUACAGUGGAUAAUUUCAAGUUUUGGGUUCUCAAGCAUUGAUGUUGAAUGGUUAGAUCGUAAAAAUAAGUAUAAAAUAACAAGUCAUUAAUAGGGCAUCAUCAGAAAAAAGAAUUAUAUUGAUUUAAUGAGUAGAAUAAUUUGCAACAUUAAUUAACAUAGUUGAUUUGUCCACUUUA